rnacentral:rRNA from 1 species
AACGAACGCUGGCGGCAGGCUUAACACAUGCAAGUCGAACGGGCGUAGCAAUACGUCAGUGGCAGACGGGUGAGUAACACGUGGGAACCUUCCUAGGGGUACGGAACAACUCAGGGAAACUUGAGCUAAUACCGUAUACGUCCGUGAGGAGAAAGAUUUAUCGCCCUUAGACGGGCCCGCGUCGGAUUAGCUAGUUGGUGGGGUAACGGCCUACCAAGGCGACGAUCCGUAGCUGAUCUUAGAGGAUGAUCAGCCACACUGGGACUGAGACACGGCCCAGACUCCUACGGGAGGCAGCAGUGGGGAAUCUUGGACAAUGGGCGAAAGCCUGAUCCAGCCAUGCCGCGUGAGUGAAGAAGGUCUUCGGAUUGUAAAGCUCUUUUACCAGGGACGAUAAUGACGGUACCUGGAGAAUAAGCCCCGGCAAACUUCGUGCCAGCCGCCGCAGUAAAAC